rnacentral:rRNA from 1 species
AGAGUUUGAUCCUGGCUCAGAACGAACGUUGGCGGCGUGGAUUAGGCAUGCAAGUCGAACGCGAAAGGGUAGCAAUACCCGAGUAAAGUGGCGAACGGGUGAGUAACGCGUAGGAAACCUGCCUUCGAGUGGGGGAUAACAUCCCUAACGGGGUGCUAAUACCGCAUGACACUGCGAGGUCGCAUGGCUUUGCAGUCAAAGGUGGCCUCUAUUUAUAAGCUACCGCUCAAAGAUGGUCCUGCGUCCCAUUAGCUAGUUGGCGGGGUAACGGCCCACCAAGGCAUCGAUGGGUAGCCGAUCUGAGAGGAUGACCGGCCACACUGGGACUGAGAUACGGCCCAGACUCCUACGGGAGGCAGCAGUCGAGAGGCUUCGGCAAUGGGGGAAACCCUGACCGAGCGACGCCGCGUGGAGGAUGAAGGCCCUUGGGUUGUAAACUCCUGUCAUGUGGGAAGAAACCUCACGGCGUGAAUAAUGCCGUGAGCUGACGGUACCACAAGAGGAAGCUCCGGCUAACUCCGUGCCAGCAGCCGCGGUAAUACGGGGGAAGCAAACGUUGUUCGGAAUCACUGGGCGUAUAGGGCGUGUAGGCGGCUGAAUAAGUGGAGUGUUAAAUCCCCGGGCUCAACCCGGGAACUGCACUUCAUACUGUUCAGCUUGGGUACAGCAGAGGAGACUGGAAUUCCCCGGUGUAGCGGUGAAAAUGCGUAGAUAAUCGGGAGGAACACC